UACGGGGGGGGGCAAGCGUUUGUUCGGAAUGACUGGGCGUAAAGCGCGCGUAGGCGGAUCAGGAAGUUGGGGGUGAAAUCCCGGGGCUCAACCCCGGAAUGGCCUUCAAAACUCCUGGUCUUGAGUUCGAGAGAGGUGAGUGGAAUUCCGAGUGUAGAGGUGAAAUUCGUAGAUAUUCGGAGGAACACCAGUGGCGAAGGCGGCUCACUGGCUCGACACUGACGCUGAGGUGCGAAAGCGUGGGGAGCAAACAGG
rnacentral:rRNA from 1 species